CAGAGAGGGAGUAGAAAGAAGAAAGAAAGGAGGAGAGAAGGAAAGAAGGAAGGAAGAAGAAAAAGGGAAGAAGAGAGAGAGAGAAAGUGUUGCUGCCCCUCUCUGUUGCUGCACCUUCUACUGUGGCUGCUGCUAAUGCUAUCCAUGCACCCCCAACAUGCUGUCCAUAGUGAGAAGAUGCUGCCAGAGGGUGCUGCCACAACUGGGAAUGGAAUCUGGAGCUAGAUAACUGCUAUUGGAUAUACUUGCACAACCCAGGAACCCUAGGAAGAUGGCGGAACCGGAGCUGAGAUGGACAAAAGAUUAGUACAGUUUUGAGGCCGUGUCUGAGAGACACAUAGUUACUGGAUGGAUAUCCCUUCUAUUUAUCCUUUUAUUUUGUUAUCAAUGAGUUGUAAGAUUUAUUUAUUAUGAUUGUAACCUGUGGAUUUUAAUUUA